rnacentral:lncRNA from 1 species
UUUUUUUUUUUUUUUUUUACAGCCACACCUGCAGCAUAUGGAAUAUGGAGGCUCCCAGGCUAGGGGUCUAAUCAGAGCUACAUCUGCCAGUCUACACCACAGCCACAGCAACACGGGAUCCGAGUCGCCUCUGCAACCUACACCACAGCUCAUGGCAACGCUGGAUCCUUAACCCACUGAGCAAGGCCAGGGAUCAAACCUGCAACCUCGUGGAUACUAGUGGGGUUCUUAACCCACUGAGCCACAAUGGGAACUCCCUUUGGAUCUUAACUCAUCUAAUUCCCCCAUCAAUCGAAGAGGUGGGUGCUAUCUUCGGAAAUGAGGCACGCCCAGGUAAAGCAGCCGGCCAACGUCACACAGCCAGUAAGUAGGCGGGAUUCAACCCAGCCGGUGGGGGUCCAGAACCCCACGCUUCACCACAAAGCCAUUACAGGCUGGGUGAUGACGAGGGCUUCCUAGUUAUCAACACAAGGGACCGCAGAGAAGGGGCACAGGAAGUAAGACAUAAUGUCAUGUGUGCAGUGUGAUCACACCUCGGCUAAAACAAAAUGCAAAGAACAAGCAGGAAAUGUACCAAAAAGGUGAGAGGGCCGUGUGGAAAGGCGAGAUCUUUUUGCUUGUCUUUAUUGUCCAAAUGUUUGACAGUGAGCAAAGUGACAACCAAGACAGUCAAUGCAUGGGGGGCAUCCCUGGGAGCCAGUAUGGUGCCCGGCACUGACUACUCCACCUAAGCCUCUCCUCCUGGCAGCCACCCCGAGGGAUGAUGCUUGCCUGUCUGGUCCCCGCAGCAGCCUGUGAUACAGCAGGUUCCCAGUACCGUGUGUGGAAGAGAAAAAGCCUAUGGGAGAGAAACACAGAUGUCCCCAUUUUACAGCCAAAGAAACUGAGGCCCAAGAGCCAAGUGCCCAAGGUCACAGAGCUGGUAAGUGGUGGCCCAGGACAAGCACUGGCAGAGCCACAUCAUAGUGGAGAGGUUCUGUCAUCCACGCAAGGGGUAAAAGUCACACAGUCAAAAUCGCUAAAAACGGCGACCAAAUAUGAUGCAGACUGCAAUAUGAGACUGAACCCCAGUCUCAUAUUGGGGAAGGAGGGGAGGGCAGGUAUAAAGAACAUUCGGGGAAAAUUGAUGAAAUUUGGAUACAGAUCGUGGAUUGCAUAAUUUAGUAUCGACAUUACAAUGUCCUGAUUUUGUUCACUGUCCUGUGGUUAUACUAGAAAAUGUCCGUGUUCUUAGGAGACACAUGCUGGAUUAUUUAGGGGCGUCAUGUCUGCAAUUACUCUCAAAAGGAUCAAAGCACUAAUAAUAAGCAUGCAUGUGUGUGCACGCGUGUGCACACACACAUGUGCACGUGUUGGAGUGGGGGAGAGGUGGAAGGGGAAGAAAAAGAAGAGAGGAGAAUUAUAAAACAAAUGUAGCUCAAAUGUAGACUAACGAUUGGUGAAUCCAGGUGAAGGGUACAGGGGAUGCUAGAUAUUCUUGAAACGUCAAAAUAAAAAGUUACCAAGAAAUUAACGACGAAAAAAAUGUAUUAAAAUGCCCAUAAACACAAGAUACCAAGGUUUUGUGUCUAGACCCCGAACAUAGGUAGAAACACAUAACACACACAGCCAGGUACAUACAUAAAACAUCAUUUGACCAACCUGGGUUCCAUGAGAAGAGAGCCUGUAAUUGAACGGACAUAAUGGAAUGGGUUUUUGAUACCCACUCCUCCACUGCAUUUAUUACCUUUGUGAUCAAGGGGAAAUAAAUCUUUAAAAACCACCCAAUCGAUGGCCUGGUCAGCCAUCUGCUAGCAGCUGGGACCACCCAGAGCUAGCUCCCUCUGCCCUCCUGGUGUGGUGAGGGCAGGAGGCCAAGGAUGCCAGUCUGAAGCUACUCUCCAUGCUGGGACCCGCACUCCCCAAAGUCAAGGAACCAGGAGAAUCUAUGCCACAGAGUGCACCCCAUUCAAUCCCAUUCACUCCCACAUUCACACCCUCCACCAACACUGAAAGAGUGCCCACUCUGCGCUAGGUGCUGGGGAUCUGUCGGUGACCACAGCAGGCCCGGUCCCUGACCUCAAAUGACUUACAUCCUAGUUGGCAAGACAGACGCUAAUCAAAGUAAGCCAACAAGACCACUUUGGGGAGUGACAGGUACCAAGAAGAAAACUGGUGUGGUGAUGGGGAGAAGGGGACCUGCAGGCUCUCUGAAGAAGUGACACUGGAGUUACUGCUGAACCACAGGGAAGGGCUCCUGAUGCACAGCACAGUGAAAGGUGUUGCAGCAAAUGCAAAGGUCUGGAGAGUGGAACCAGUCUAGCAAGUUCAAGACCAGAGAGUUAGCAGGUGGGGCCAGGACAUAAUGAAUGCAGGGGGAGAUGAGGUUGGCGUGGUCCUUGUAAGCCAUAGCAAGGAGUCUGAAUUCAAUCAACCUCAAUUCCCUGUCCCCCUAAUCUCUAGUGCAGUGGAGAAAGGAGAGGAAGGAGACCCUUUUGGAUUGCUACUGCCUCUUCAAACAAACCAGAAGAAAAUGGCAGGAUGUUGGACCUAAACACAACCCAUACUCAUUAAGUGUAUAUGAGCUAAACAGUCUAAUUAAAAGUCAGAGACCGUCAGAAUGGAUAAAACAGCAAGACUCAGCUCUGUGAUGCCCAUAAGAGAUGCACUUGAAAUAUAAAGACACAAAGAGACUAACAGGAAAGAGAUGGAAAGCAGAAAGCAUAAGAGAGCUGACAUGGCUACAUUAACAGCAGACUAAAGAGACUUCAAGGCAACGAGCAUGAUCGGGGUAAAGAGGAAUAUUUCAUAAUGAUAAACGAGUCGAUUCAUCAGGAAGACAUAACCACAAAAGUGUACAUUCCAACAAAAGGACUUUAAAAUACACAG